GAUGAACGCUGGCGGCGUGCGUAACACAUGCAAGUAGGGCGACGGAAUUGUGAAGUGGUAACACGGAAUGAUUGACGGAGCUGCGGACUGGUGAGUACAACAUGAGAAGCUGUCCUCAAGAGGGGGACAACGUCUGGAAACGGACGCUAAUACCCCAUAGGCCUUCGGGUGAAAGCAGCAAUGUGCUUGAGGAGGUGCUCGUGUCCUAUCAGCUUGUUGGUGAGGUAACGGCUCACCAAGGCUUCGACGGGUAGCCGGCCUGAGAGGGUGAACGGCCACAUUGGGACUGAGACACGGCCCAAACUCC
rnacentral:rRNA from 1 species